CUUCUUUCCUGUAGCAGCUAAUAAUAACUACCUACUUAACUCAAUUGCUUCUGUCCAGCAGAGGGACUGAAAGUCCUGCCAAGAUUCCUUCUAAAUCUUGUUCUCCAAGCACAAACCCUGAUUGCCUUAAACUAGCUAGAGUACUGCUUGGUCCUUCUCCAAAGUUCACCUCAUAAAGAUAUUCUAUCAUAUUUUAUUAUGCUUUUUAUUUAGGGCCUUCUGAAGAAGAUCCACUUUUUAGACAUGAAGAAUAUCUUUUUUCUCCAAAGAAAAAAGUACUUGAAAAAGACAAAUGGGAGAAGUGGCAACAAGAAAACUGGGAAGAAUGUACGAAUUUGAACAUUUCAUUUCAGGCUUUGGGAGACCCUUAUCAAGCAGACAAUUUGAACAGGAUUCUCCGAAGACUAAUAAGAGUACAAACCCUUUGGCUGGUGGACAAUUCUCUGACAGAUCUAAGUGCCAUUAGACUGCCCAGAUGCAAAGAAUUAAAUGUCAGCAAAAAUUGCUUUACAUCUUUCAAACAAUUGCCAAAGAUACCUGAAAUACAGCAUUUAUCCUUGGCUGAAAAUCAGAUCGCGACAUUGAUUGGACUCUCCAGCUUGCAAUCCACUCCAUUAGAGUCACUCAUGCUCAAGAGGAAUCCCUGUGAAUUUCACCAAAACUACAGAAAACAAGUCUUUUCCAGUUUGCCAAACUUAAAAAUACUGGAUGGAGUCCCAAAGCUUCCAGAAGACCAUUCAUUGCCAGAAAUGAGCCUUUUUUCCAAAAUGUGCACCAUAUCUUGAUGUGUUCUGGAGAGAAAGAAAGAAAUUGCCAGUAUUGUUUAUGGGAACGAAUAGGAUAUAGACAUGAUUUAGUGAAACUGUUUAUGAAGUAAAAUGUCUUCCUCUCAAAAUCCAAGCAGAUCAAUGAGAAAAAAGGGAAUACUAAAAAUGUCUCAUAUUUCUUAAUGACUACAUCAUCUAUCUGCAUUACACAGAAUUGAAUUCAACACAUUAAAUGCUGUUUCUCUCAUUCACUAUUGAAACUAUUAAGUCUUCUAUUGAAUUUUACAUAUUGGGGAUUGGAAUGGGGAGGGGAAAGGAUCACUCUUUUACCAAUACAGAAGAAGAAAGCUUUCUUUAUUUUAGAAUCUUUUAUUUACAGUAUCAUGGAUAUUGGAAAACAGAUGUUGUACCCAGCAUCACUUCCAAAGCUAGUUCAGGUUCAAGCCACUUGGUAGGUAAAUAUCAAAACUAUCAAAACUCUAUGACCCAUAGCUCUCAGGGUUCCAGUGAUGUGUUCACUUUUCUUUCACCAUCAGAGAAGGAAAUGACAUGUAAACAAAUAUGUAGCAUUGGAAUCAUUACAAACUGUUAAGUCAUUAGAAUUGAUGGAGACAAUAAUUAUCUAAUUUAGCAUGGUUCAGUAUCAUUGAUCUAAUCCUACAAGGAGAUGUUUUGGGCCAGAACCUGAAACAAGGGUACUAAGUAGAACUAAUUAAUACAAUGCUUGUGUUCACACCAGUACUCAUUGGAGUUCACAAGUAUGGGAGAUUCACAAAGCAAACUUUGUAACUUUUAUGAAUUCACACCUCCCUUAGGUGUGCCUCCAGAAGAAGGAGUCAACCUUUGGGAGAUGAUAUAUAAGAAGCAGACUCAGUCGGGAGUUGAGCUGAAUUAGAUUGGAGAGGAGCACGCUGGGACAGACACAGAGCACUCUGGGAGAUUGAGAGCCAAAAGCCUUCUCUCUGAGGCAAGAGAGAUCCAUUCCAUUUUCUACUUGGCUGGCUGCGCUGAAGGACAAACCUUUGGAUUUGGAGACAUUCAGAGGGAGCUCUUGGAACCAAGCAGAGAGAUAAGCCUCUAAGCUAACUGGGCUAUAUUGGAGAUAAUAAAAGAUCUGAACUUUUAUCACCUA